rnacentral:lncRNA from 10 species
GAGAACAUCCGCUCCGACUCUACCGAGGCUCAGACAGGACAACAAGAGUGUGCUGGACACUGGGAAAUGUGGUCCAGGAGCAGUCACAGUCCCUAUAGACCUCCCACAAAUUACCGUAAUGCAAAGCAGGAAGAGCCCUCCGGAGCCUCGAAAAGCAGAGUGGAAGUGGUGGUGCCCAGGACGCAUGGGCUCUGAUGGGAAGAGGGAGGUGGGCCUGAGCAUGGGCCUUCUUCUCCCCAGGUCAGAGGGGCCUGGAUGCCCCUGGAGGGAACACUGAGGUCACCUCUGGCCAAAUCUUCCUGUUCUGCCAGUACCCAGCCCUGUUCAGUGACGUCAAGCUUUUGGGUCCCUGUCCUGGGGCCCUCCACGCUGGCCGGGCUGUGUAGAGACGCCCUUCUCUCCACUUUAUUGGGUCCAGAUUGUUGUGUGGCUUCUCCCCUCCUCUGCAGCCUGGGGUCUGAAAACAGCGAUGCCAACAGACAGACAGAUUUCCAAAAGAAAGGUCCGGCUCAGCCAAGGACAAAGGGGCCUCGCAGAGGCUCCUGGGGGUCAGAAAGCUGAGAGUCUACCAGGCAGGUGCCUUCUCCACCCACAGGCACAAGCUACAACAGCUUUCCAAGAAGUGCAUCCACAUCGUCCCCAGGUCCAGAUGCCCACAUUGCCCUGCAGGGACCAAGACCACACUCGGGCUGCUUGGACAGGAUGUAGCUGGUCACUGUUCUGGAGCUGGCCCCUCUGUAGCCUGUGACAAUCAGCUUGAGUCUCUCUGCCAAGUCUCCGCCUUCUGUUCUUCUUGCCGACCUUGAAGCAGAGUUGACGUUUCAGGUUUUUCCAGCAGACAAAGCUCACUCAAUCUGAUACUGUGGAGGUUGUUAAU